GACUCCUGUGGAGGUCAGAGGACAACCUGAGGGGAUAGCUUCUCUCCUUCCAUCCUGUGGGUCCCAGGGACAGAACUCAGUCAGCAGACUCCAUGGCAAGCACUUCCACCCACUGAGCCACCUCUACUAAACGGUUCUCUUUUCUUCUCCUGUUUUCCCUCCCCAUCUUCCUUCACUUUUGCCGCCUCAGUUGCUUCUCUGUGGUUUGAAGUCCAACAUUCUUCUCCCUUCAGCACACAAAAGCCCGGAUCUCUAGGCUUUCAAUUCCAUCACCGCUCCUGGUGUUUCUGCUGGGAGACAGACUCCAGAGGUGUGCAAGCCUGCACUCCUGGCAUAAAGCCCCACUCUACCCUGUGAGGAAUAACAGGCUGAUCUGUCCUGAGCCAGAGGCAAAGCCCAUAGCAGGCUGGAUCUGCCAUCCUGAGGCAGGGCAGAGUCCAUGAAGACUCUGGCUUUUGUUCUGGGAGCAAAGGAGGGCGCUGGGGGACCUUGAGCAGGGAAGUGCCCUCAUUCAAUUCACAUUUUAUAUGAUUUUUUUUUCCAACUUGCAUUUAAGAAAGAAGAUGCUGGCUGCCACUCCCUGGUCCCCUCAGGAGAUGGCAGUAGCUUGAGCUAUAGGAUGGCCCAUCCUGGACAGAGAACUGUGGAGGAACAAGAAUAUGACAGGACCGGUUUCACUUUGUAGUCCUGGCAGCCUUGCAUCUCACUAAGCAGACCAGGCUGUCCUCAAAGGUGUGUGCCAUCACAUCUGGCUUAUAGUAUGGAUCUGGACCGUCUCUCAGGCUUAAGUGACAAAUGACUUGGUCCACAGCCUGCGGUGAUAAAAGGAAGAGAUGAAACCAUUGGGAGGUGUGGUCUUGAAGAAAGAAGUUGGGUCGCUGGCAGCACGCCUUUGGGAGAAUAUUGUCACCCCAGUCCCUGACUCACUGCUUCCUGGAUGCCUGGGAAGUGAGCAGCUGCCUCUGUACAAGCUCCAACCAUGAUGACUUGCUACCCACAGGACCAAAGCCAAGUGGCUGCGGACUGAACUUUUGAAAUUAUCCAGAUGCAGAACUCCCAGCUGCCUCUCCAGCACCAUGUCUGCCU